GCAGUGGUGGUUCAGUGGUAGUAUUUUCGCCUUCCAUGUGUGAGACCUUGGUUCGAUCCCAGCCUAUGCA
rnacentral:tRNA from 1 species